GCCCGGGCGAAGGGCGGAUAGGAGCGGGUUGGCCGGUGGCGGGUGUGUUCCUGCUUGCGUGGAGGCGGGACCAGUGCUGCAGACUGGAAUCUACAUGGAUUACUCUGACCCAUCUUCACUGUUCUGGGAUUUGAUCACAGGCUCGUUUCCUCUGCAACAUCACUGGAAAGAUCCCACAAGGUCACCCUCGGAUUCUGUCUCCUUUACAAAGAAGCUGAGUGAACUUUGCAGUCGCCACAGCGGUGAG